AGAUCGGCUGCUUGCGGUGGUUUGAGUGGUGGCAAGUCCAGUGCUGAGAGGGGUCGGCAGUCUUCCGGAAAACUCUAGCGCCAAGUUCCUGAGCUUUCGGAGGCGAGGCGCGGCAUGUCGUGGGUUCCGCGGGGUUGGCGGUGAACGUGCGGGCGGGAUGGGUCGGCGCCGGGGUGUGGAGCUGUACCGGGCCCCGUUCCCGUUGUACGCGCUUCGGAUAGACCCCAAGACUGGGCUGCUCAUCGCUGCGGGCGGAGGAGGAGCUGCCAAGACCGGCAUAAAGAAUGGCGUGGUGAGAACGCAGGGCCACUGAGAACAGGUUAUACCGUGGCCCAGGGAGAUUCCAGGGUGGCCGGGGGAUGCAGAGCAUUUUCUGCAGCUAGAGCUGAUCAACGGGUGCCUGAGCGCUUCCUUGCUGC
rnacentral:lncRNA from 1 species